rnacentral:rRNA from 1 species
GAUGAACGCUAGCGGGAGGCCUAACACAUGCAAGCCGAGCGGUAUUGUUUCUUCGGAAAUGAGAGAGCGGCGUACGGGUGCGGAACACGUGUGCAACCUGCCUUUAUCUGGGGGAUAGCCUUUCGAAAGGAAGAUUAAUACUCCAUAAUAUAUUGAACGGCAUCGUUUAAUAUUGAAAGCUCCGGCGGAUAGAGAUGGGCACGCGCAAGAUUAGCUAGUUGGUGAGGUAACGGCUCACCAAGGCGAUGAUCUUUAGGGGGCCUGAGAGGGUGAUCCCCCACACUGGUACUGAGACACGGACCAGACUCCUACGGGAGGCAGCAGUGAGGAAUAUUGGUCAAUGGGUGCAAGCCUGAACCAGCCAUCCCGCGUGAAGGACGACUGCCCUAUGGGUUGUAAACUUCUUUUGUAUAGGGAUAAACCUACCCUCGUGAGGGUAGCUGAAGGUACUAUACGAAUAAGCACCGGCUAACUCCGUGCCAGCAGCCGCGGUAAUACGGAGGGUGCAAGCGUUAUCCGGAUUUAUUGGGUUUAAAGGGUCCGUAGGCGGACUUAUAAGUCAGUGGUGAAAGCCAGUCGCUUAACGAUAGAACUGCCAUUGAUACUGUAAGUCUUGAGUAUAUUUGAGGUAGCUGGAAUAAGUAGUGUAGCGGUGAAAUGCAUAGAUAUUACUUAGAACACCAAUUGCGAAGGCAGGUUACCAAGAUAUAACUGACGCUGAGGGACGAAAGCGUGGGGAGCGAACAGGAUUAGAUACCCUGGUAGUCCACGCCGUAAACGAUGCUAACUCGUUUUUGGGCUUUAGGGUUCAGAGACCAAGCGAAAGUGAUAAGUUAGCCACCUGGGGAGUACGCUCGCAAGAGUGAAACUCAAAGGAACUGACGGGGGCCCGCACAAGCGGUGGAUUAUGUGGUUUAAUUCGAUGAUACGCGAGGAACCUUACCAAGACUUAAAUGGGAAUUGACAGCUUUAGAAAUAGAGCUUUCUUCGGACAAUUUUCAAGGUGCUGCAUGGUUGUCGUCAGCUCGUGCCGUGAGGUGUUAGGUUAAGUCCUGCAACGAGCGCAACCCCUGUCACUAGUUGCCAUCAUUCAGUUGGGGACUCUAGUGAGACUGCCUACGCAAGUAGAGAGGAAGGUGGGGAUGACGUCAAAUCAUCACGGCCCUUACGUCUUGGGCCACACACGUAAUACAAUGGCCGGUACAGAGGGCAGCUACACAGCGAUGUGAUGCAAAUCUCGAAAGCCGGUCUCAGUUCGGAUUGGAGUCUGCAACUCGACUCUAUGAAGCUGGAAUCGCUAGUAAUCGCGCAUCAGCCAUGGCGCGGUGAAUACGUUCCCGGGCCU